CCUACGGGAGGCAGCAGUGGGGAAUAUUGCACACUGGGGGAAACCCUGAUGCAGCGACGCCGCGUGAGUGAAGAAGUAAUUCGUUACGUAAAGCUCUAUCAGCAGGGAAGAAACACUGACCUUACGGUCAGCAGACGGUACCUGAGUAAGAAGCCCCGGCUAACUCCGUGCCAGCAGCCGCGGUAAUACGUAGGGGGCAAGCGUUAUCCGGAUUUUCUGGUGGUAAAGGGAGAGUAGACGGGGCGCCAAGUCUGGAGUGAAAUGCCGCAGCUUAACUGCGGAAAUGCUUUGGAAACUGGCGAACUAGAGUGCGGGAGGGGUAAGCGGAAUU
rnacentral:rRNA from 1 species